CAGAUUUGUCAUGGAAAAGUGAUUGAUCAAACAAUAAGAGUUGAAGGUAAUUAGGAUACAUUAAUAUCUGGGAAUUCUCUGAAUCAUACAAUUUAAGGAUAGAACGACAUUGUUCCAAUAUUACACCGCAAUAUACCCCCAUGCAUUUAUACAGUUGAAUCGUAAAUUGCGCGAGAAGAAUUAAAUAAGGUGAGAAAAAACGAUAUGGCUCUUCAGGCCACUCGGGAACAAUUGCCUCCGAACAAAACAAGUCCUGAGAGUUUCAACUUCACCACACAAUACUAUGGCAAACCCCGCUCGUCUCGCAAAGUUAACAGGCCAAACUUCAGCGCAGCAAAAAGCACGACUUCUACAUAAGAAAACAAAAAAUAAUCUCAAUUCUGAAUUUGAGGCGAAUUUAAUCAGUCCAAAGCAGCCAACAAUUUACAAAUUAGUGAUAUUUUUUCCCUCAAAGCACAUGAUAACAUAUGAGGAUCACAUAACUGUCCAAAUUGGAAUAGACAAAAAGAAUAUGGUAGACAAAUUUACAAGGUCAUGUCUGCCAAUGAUUAUGGGGAUGCAUCCCACAAACGAGUAACUGUCACGGGUCCUAAAUAGCAUUCAUAGCAUACACAAGUUAGCAGUAAAAUCAGUAUUCAAGGGCAAUCGAUGGCAUUGAAACUAAGCCUUGUUGCUAAUAAAUAUGAGACCAGCACCAUUCUGUUGAGUUCAGUGCUAGCUCUACUACAAAAUCCAAAGAAACUUAGCUACUUGCCAACCAUAACAGACCAUCUGAAUUUUGACAACUCUUCUAGCAUGUUCCACCACUCAACGACAAUUGUGAUAAGAAGAGAUGACCAGGAAGAAAACCAUUGAAGCAAGCAAUAUAUAAGUAGGAGGAAAGGACUAUUUGGUGACUGAAAAUUUUUAUCUAACUGGUCAAUGACUUGACCGAGGUGUCAUGCAACUGCUGAUACUAUGUACCCUAUCCAGUUAGUGCUCGAAUCACUUAUGUUCAAUAAGUUAAAAGUAUCUAAUAAUUCUUCCGAAUCACUUCAACUAACCCAAAGCUACUAAUUUUAUCAUCCAACUAUUAAUACAAGCUUCAGAAAUAUCCUUUUACAGUAUUAAGCAUUAUCGUGAAAAUUUCAAAAUACUUAGAUAGAUGCAAUAACUAUAUACAGUAAUCAUCAUUAUAUAUUAUAUAGUGUUUGUUUGGGAAAGACUAUUUGAACUGAAAAAUAUCUUUCUUGAGACGUGUCAUUAAAAAGCAUGGUAGAGUUAUGAAUCCACGUGCAAAAUUAUUUUAUUGGGAGUACGUGGAGUUGCAAUGAGUUUGAGGAAAAAAUGAUUUUCAAAUAAGUUGUGCUAAACAAACGCUAGUUGAAAGGUUAAGACCAUACUGCAUACCAGAUAUAAUAAACUUCAAACAAACUAAAUGCAUGAUGCCACUGUUGUGUUAAGUAUUUAUACGAAAUAAAGAGCAGCAUGCCUCCAAUUCAAAUAUGCAUUUUCUCUAAUUAUAAAAAAUUAUGAGUUCCUUGUUCAACCUUAUGAUUACAUCAGCCUCCUUUACCCAUGAAUCUAAACUUAAACUGGGGUUGAAAUCACCAAGGAUCUAGGCAGAAUGAAAAGUAGGAUCCCAUUAGCCUCCUUUACCCAAGAAUCCUAGAUUACAUGCCCCAACAGUCGAUUGAUUUGAGCAGAAAGAAUAUUUAAUCAAAUUACUCAAACUUGCUAAAUGGUCAAACAAAUGUAAUUCGCACCAGUAAACUAAAAUAGACAGAACCCAUGAAAUAAUUCACAGUACCCAAGAUUGCAACAAAUAUAUCCCCCAUUUGGCCCCUAUUAA
rnacentral:lncRNA from 1 species